GUCGAGACCUUCGAUCGUCGUCACUUCGGCCUGCUGGCAGGCCACCGCAAAGGUAAUGCACGAGCGCGUCGGCACACCAUCGACCAGGAUCGUGCAAGCGCCGCAGACGCCGUGCUCGCAGCCAAGGUGGAGGUUCUGGGUCUCACGCACGAAAUCGGCGAGAUGGGUGCGCGGCUGAACAUUCGCGCUGACCUGUUUACCGUUAACUGUGAGGCUGACUGUAUUCA
rnacentral:misc_RNA from 1 species